rnacentral:rRNA from 1 species
AUGGUGGAAGGCUCGAAGACUGGCAUCUCGAAUCUGAAGUUCCUCCUCCUCUGCUUCCAACAAAUGUCUGGCCUCAAGAUCAACUUCGAAAAGAGUGAUGUGAUGGUGAUGGGCUACUCCCAGGACGAAUGCCUGGGCAUUGCCAACCGGCUUAACUGCCGCUUGGGCACCUUCCACACGACCUACCUGGGGACUCCCAUUAGUGACUCUAGGCUCACCGUGGCUGACUUGUGCCCGACCGUGGCAAAGUUGUAGACGCGUAUUGAACCCUGGAAGGGGAGAUGGCUGUCUAAGGCGGCCCGGACGAUUCUCAUAAACUCAUCCUUGCACGGUCUCCUCUUAUUCCUCAUGAGCUUCUAUAGCCUACACGAAACCCUACAUCAUGAGAUCGCCAAAGUUCAAUCUCGUUUCUACUGGGCGGGCGACAACGAUAGAUAGAAAUACCAUAUGGUCAGCUGGCCGAACAUAUGCAAGCCUCGGGAGCACGGGGGCCUUGGGAUCAUGUGCUCUAAGCGCAUGAACAUCGCCCUACUACCUCGCUGGCUUUGGUGGAUCUCUCAAGGGUAAGGUGUGGCAUCUAUUUAG